CAAGCAGGCUAGGUGACUGCGACCGGCUCUGCCGGUUGAGGAAAGUCCGCACUCCAUAGAGCAUGGUGCCGGCUAACAGCCGGGCGGGGUAACCCGACGGCAAGUGCAACAGAGAGAAGACCGCCUAAGUUGCUUCUUCCAGGAAGCAGCCGGCAAGGGUGAAAGGGUGGUGUAAGAGACCACCGGCAGCGACAGUAAUGUCGCUGGCUAGGUAAACCCCACCAGGAGCAAGGCCAAGCAGGGCGUUGUCUCUCCGGAGGCAGGGAGUUGCUCGCUCCCCAUCGUCCAGGUAGGCUGCGCGAGGCGACCAGUAAUGGUUGUCCCAGAUAGAUGGUCACCGCCACAACACCUGUGCAGGCAGGUAGUGUGGUACAGAAUGCGGCUUAUCGGCCAGCUUGCAGC
rnacentral:RNase_P_RNA from 1 species